AAAUUAAAAAGUUAUAAUUUAGUAGAUCGACCGGAGUUAAAAAGACACGACCUUCCUCAUCAUCCAAUCAAACUUCUGUUAUCUAUUUAUCCAUCGCUUUUAUGAAAAUGUCCAUUUUUUAAGAAUAAAAUUAAAUGUUUUAACAUUUUUGAAAUUCUAUGGAUCGGUCACUCACCUGGACCUGAAACCAAAGCAAGAUUUUUUUUUCGAUUCCACUGAAUGUCGCGAUGUUGUCGCCGGACGUUGGGGAUAUCUUGGAGAAGUCGAGGGAUGUAGAUCGGUUGAGGAAGGAACAGGAGGAGGUUCUCAUUGUAAUCAACAAAAUGCACAAGAAGUUUCAAGCCAGUGUCAGCCAGGAUGACAGAUGGUGACAAGGACAAAUGGUUUGUUGUAAAAGUAAUGCAUUUUGAUAGAGAAACAAGAGAGUAAGUUUUGUUUCAUUCACAACAGACCAUACUCGACGUUUUAGCUUUCUCCGGAUUACAGCUCUAAAAAUGUUCAUUAUGUGCAUAGAUUUGAAGUACUGGAUGAGGAGCCAGGUGAUGAUGAAGUUGUCUCAACUAGUAAUUUAGAAGUCAAUAUUUGGUUCUUCACUCGAGUCUUGAUCUUGUAUCAGAAAUAAUCAAGUUCAGUGAUGUUCAUUUAUGUCAUUGCUAAGUUCAGAAAGUACAAGUUGCCAAUGUCAUGCAUAAUACCUUUCCUGAAGAGAAAUGAUCCUUCUAGCGUUCUGGAAUUUGCACCAGGAAGACAUGUUUUAGCUGUUUAUCCGGGAACAACUGCACUCUACAAGGCAACUGUUGAAAAUACACCACUUAAGAGAAAGAGCAAUGAGUAAGUGAAAUCCUUGCAUUUCAUUCUUUAUUUUGAAGAUCUGCGGAAGUACAGUGUUCUAAUACAAGAUGGAAACAAAAUAAUUAAUUGAUUUCUGUCAUCUUUUUCUUUUUUCCGUUCUACAUUUUGGGUUAAUGGUUAUAAACAAAGCAUUUAAUAUACAGAUUACAGAUUUGCUUGCCAACUGAUUCAUCAAGGGAUUCUGGAUCAUCUAUAGAUAGAACCAUGCCGAGUUUUGGCUAAUGUUUCUAUAAUCUUGUUUUUGUCAUGGUGUCAUGUACCUGAUCAUGUAUUGAUCUGGCAGUUAUUUGCUGGAAUUUGAUGACGAGGAGGAAGAUGGAGCCUUGCCUCAGAGGACAGUUCCAUUCCACAUGGUGGUCGCUUGGCCAGAAGAUCGCCACUGAUUAUUAUUGUCUAUAAUUGUGUAUAAAUUUAUAGCUUGUGUUAUUCAAUAUACCAUAUAACCUUUACACUAAAAUUUUUGCUAGGUAAUGUAGUAGGGGAUUUGUAAUCCAAAUCUUUUAUGUUAUUUUGUUAUAUGACCUGUUCAUUAAACUCUAAAAACCUUUCAAAAACACCUUUACAAUUUA